GCGGACGUAGCUCAGUUGGUUAGAGUGCCGGCCUGUCACGCCGGAGGUCGCGGGUUCGAGCCCCGUCGUCCGCG
rnacentral:tRNA from 1 species